GGCAGUGUAGCUCAGUGGCAGAGCAUUCGACUGCAGAUCGAGACGACGGUAGUUCAAAUCCGCCCACUCCUU
rnacentral:tRNA from 1 species